rnacentral:rRNA from 1 species
UGGGGAAUAUUGGACAAUGGGGGCAACCCUGAUCCAGCAAUGCCGCGUGAGUGAUGAAGGCCUUAGGGUUGUAAAGCUCUUUCGCACGCGACGAUGAUGACGGUAGCGUGAGAAGAAGCCCCGG